UACGAAGGGGGCUAGCGUUGUUCGGAAUUACUGGGCGUAAAGCGCACGUAGGCGGAUUUGUAAGUCAGGGGUGAAAUCCCGGGGCUCAACCUCGGAACUGCCUUUGAUACUGCAAGUCUCGAGUCCGAUAGAGGUGAGUGGAAUUCCUAGUGUAGAGGUGAAAUUCGUAGAUAUUAGGAAGAACACCAGUGGCGAAGGCGGCUCACUGGCCCGGUACUGACGCUGAGGUGCGAAAGCGUGGGGAGCAAACAGG
rnacentral:rRNA from 1 species